UCCCUUUCCUUCCUUCGCUCCACCCCGACCACAGCGCGUCCAGGGUCGCCGCCGGCCGCCGCCACCCCCCAAGAUCCCCCCUCCCAAAAUCGGAUUUUUUGAGGUGAAAAAGUACGGGGAAUCGUUCCCCACCCUUCCCCGAAGUGCACAUGGCAAUGAGCGAUGCCCGGUACAAACUGCUUGGUGGUGGACAGUACCCAUCCGAGUGUGAUGAGGAUGCCCCUGUCCCUCAUGCCCUUCCAGUUCCAUUCUGUCGUUGUGAACCGGGCAAUCAGCUGGCAGAGGUGAAGCAAUCGAGGCAUCCCAAGACGGCCGGUAGAGCAUUCUACAUAUGCAAGUGGAAUGAUUCUUUGAAUCCUUGCCAUUGCUUUUUCUUUCAGUGGAUCGAUGGUCCGGAUAAGUUUGAUCCUAGAAUUCGGCUGUUCCCUUAUUAUCGGUCAGAGUCGUGGGCGUACAAUGAUUUUAGACGAUGGGUCCCUCCCCCACCAAAUCCACCACCUAUGACAGAGGAAGAGAAGCAAGAAGCUGCUAUAUAUCGUGUGAACAAUCCUCCGAAAUGUCAUUGCGGUGUUCGUGCCAAACUUCAAAGGCCUAAUAUUGGUGUCCCUCCAAAGUUCACUCCCUUUUUUAGAUGCUCGCUAAAGACUAGGGAUGGAUGGCCGGCAUGUGACUUCAAUGAGUAUAUUUAUGGUCCUAGAUCUCAUUGGCCGACAGAAGAGGAAGUUCGAGAAUUUGAGAGUGGGAAGAAGCCAUGGCCAUGUACAACUACUCCUAGUCUUCGAUGCAAGUGUGGUAUUCUGGCCACAAAAUGUGUAGUUUCUUCUGAGCUUGGCUACGGAUAUUACUGUGGCAAUAGCUACGGAGAGUAUUGGGUUCGUAUAUUAACGACAAAGUUGAAACUCCUUAUGAUUAUGUCAUUGUGCUAGUACUUGGUAUAUUAACAUUUCUGAAUGUUUGGCUCUUAAUAAUUUUUCAGGAGGGAAGGACAUGUGAUUGGGAGUGGUUCUAAGGCCGGUAUGAGCUAUUGUUGCAAUUGGGCAGAACAAAAGAGCCUUGAAAAUCCAGAGACACUAUAAAUAGAAAACUGAAGAUAAGGAAGGAUUACGAAGUUACUUUGCCUCUUGAGUCAUUUCUGUCAGGGACUAUACUCCAAGACCUACGGCGCGAGUAUGGAAAGAAGGCAGCAGAAAAGGCAACUCUUGAGGAUUGCAUUGUUUAUUGGAGGAGGAACCGAAGCAAGUACCCACGGUCCCUCACAGAUAGGGAGCUUUUGGCAAAUUAUGAGAAGAAGGAGGAGGAGGAGAUGGAGAGGCAGAGGUUAAGGGAGGAAAAAGCAAAGAAAGGUUUUACUGUUGAUACGGAAGCUAAAUACCCAAAGGGUUCUUGGGAAGAAUAUUUUCAGAAAUUGGUGGCUAACAAGAGGAUUGAAGAAAUGG